AGCUUUGCGCAGUGACAGUAUCGUAGCCAAUGAGGUUUAUCCGAGGCGCGAUUAUUGCUAAUAGAAUAAAAGGCUGAGAAAUAGCCUUAGAAAGAGGUUGACCUUCUUCUUUAUAGUCUUAACUUUAGGACCAAG
rnacentral:snRNA from 1 species